rnacentral:misc_RNA from 1 species
UCUCCGUUGGUGAACCAGCGGAGGGAUCAUUACAGGAUCGAAAGACUCCUAUAACCCCUGUGAACUUACUACAAAUACGUUGCCUCGGCGGGUGCCCCGGGUCUCCCGGGGCGUUCAGCCCGCCGGCAGCCUUCAAAUUCUGUUUCUUUGCGUUGGCAUCUCGAGUAUACAAAAAUAAGUUAAAACUUUCAACAACGGAUCUCUUGGUUCUG